rnacentral:rRNA from 1 species
UAGGGAAUCUUCGGCAAUGGACGAAAGUCUGACCGAGCAACGCCGCGUGAGUGAAGAAGGUUUUCGGAUCGUAAAACUCUGUUGGUAGAGAAGAACAAGGACGUUAGUAACUGAACGUCCCCUGACGGUAUCUAACCAGAAAGCCACGGCUAACUACGUGCCAGCAGCCGCGGUAAUACGUAGGUGGCAAGCGUUUUCCGGAUUUAUUGGGCGUAAAGCGAGCGCAGGCGGUUUCUUAAGUCUGAUGUGAAAGCCCCCGGCUCAACCGGGGAGGGUCAUUGGAAACUGGGAGACUUGAGUGCAGAAGAGGAGAGUGGAAUUCCAUGUGUAGCGGUGAAAUUCGUAGAUAUAUGGAGGAACACCAGUGGCGAAGGCGGCUCUCUGGUCUGUAACUGACGCUGAGGCUCGAAAGCGUGGGGAGCAAACAGG